rnacentral:RNase_P_RNA from 1 species
UAUGAGGAAAGUCCGGGCUCCACAGGGCAAGGAUAACGGGUAACGCCCGCCGAAGGCGACUUCAGGAAAAGUGCAACAGAGAUAUACCGCCGCGUCAAUCCAAACCGAAGCCAGGCCCAGCGGGCUGCAUUAGGAAAGGAGAGGCAAGGGAGCUUCGCAGACCUUGCCCCGACGCGGUAAGGGUGGAAAGGCGGAGAUAAGCGCCCGCCCGAUGACUGGGAACUGCUCAUCGCUGUAAACUCUAUCCGGAGCAACACCGUGGAAAACGCGCAUGGCCUGCCCGGCCGCGUUUAGGAGGUGGCUGGAGCGCAUCGGCAACGAUGCGCCUAGAUAGAUGGCUGUCUUAAAUGACAGAACCCGGCUUACAGGCUUGCUUGUAUU